ACUCAAAUGAAUUGACGGGGGUCCGCACAAGCGGUGGAACAUGUGGUUUAAUUCGACACUACGCGAGGAACCUUACCUGGGUUUGACAUGCAUAUGACCGUCUUAGAGAUAAGAUUUUUUAGGCUUCGGUCUAGACAUAUGCACAGGUGCUGCAUGGCUGUCGUCAGCUCGUGUCGUGAGAUGUUGGGUUAAGUCCUUUAACGAGCGCAACCCUUGCUGCCAGUUGCAAUUGCCUUUCGGGGUAAAGCACUCUGGUGGGACUGCCUGGGAAACCAGGAGGAAGGUGGGGACGACGUCAAGUCAUCAUGGUCCUUAUGUCCAGGGCUACACACGUGUUACAAUGGCUAGUACAAAGGGAGGCCACACCGUAAGGUGGAGCAAAUCUUAAAAACUAGUCCAAGUUCAGAUUGAGGUCUGCAACUCGACCUCAUGAAGUUGAAAUCGCUAGUAAUCGCAUAUCAGAACGAUGCGGUGAAUACGUUCUCGGACCUUGUACACACCGCCCGU
rnacentral:rRNA from 1 species